UACGGGGGGGCAAGCGUUGUUCGGAAUUACUGGGCGUAAAGGGCUCGUAGGUGGCCAACUAAGUCGGACGUGAAAUCCCUCGGCUUAACCGGGGAACUGCGUCUGAUACUGGAUGGCUUGAGUUCGGGAGAGGGAUGCGGAAUUCCAGGUGUAGCGGUGAAAUGCGUAGAUAUCUGGAGGAACACCGGUGGCGAAGGCGGCAUCCUGGACCGACACUGACGCUGAGGCGCGAAGGCCAGGGGAGCAAACGGG
rnacentral:rRNA from 1 species